CUAAUACCGGAUAAUAUUUUGAACCGCAUGGUUCAAAAGUGAAAGACGGUCUUGCUGUCACUUAUAGAUGGAUCCGCGCUGCAUUAGCUAGUUGGUAAGGUAACGGCUUACCAAGGCAACGAUGCAUAGCCGACCUGAGAGGGUGAUCGGCCACACUGGAACUGAGACACGGUCCAGACUCCUACGGGAGGCAGCAGUAGGGAAUCUUCCGCAAUGGGCGAAAGCCUGACGGAGCAACGCCGCGUGAGUGAUGAAGGUCUUCGGAUCGUAAAACUCUGUUAUUAGGGAAGAACAUAUGUGUAAGUAACUGUGCACAUCUUGACGGUACCUAAUCAGAAAGCCACGGCUAACUACGUGCCAGCAGCCGCGGUAAUACGUAGGUGGCAAGCGUUAUCCGGAAUUAUUGGGCGUAAAGCGCGCGUAGGCGGUUUUUUAAGUCUGAUGUGAAAGCCCACGGCUCAACCGUGGAGGGUCAUUGGAAACUGGAAAACUUGAGUGCAGAAGAGGAAAGUGGAAUUCCAUGUGUAGCGGUGAAAUGCGCAGAGAUAUGGAGGAACACCAGUGGCGAAGGCGACUUUCUGGUCUGUAACUGACGCUGAUGUGCGAAAGCGUGGGGAUCAAACAGGAUUAGAUACCCUGGUAGUCCACGCCGUAAACGAUGAGUGCUAAGUGUUAGGGGGUUUCCGCCCCUUAGUGCUGCAGCUAACGCAUUAAGCACUCCGCCUGGGGAGUACGACCGCAAGGUUGAAACUCAAAGGAAUUGACGGGGACCCGCACAAGCGGUGGAGCAUGUGGUUUAAUUCGAAGCAACGCGAAGAACCUUACCAAAUCUUGACAUCCUUUGACAACUCUAGAGAUAGAGCCUUCCCCUUCGGGGGACAAAGUGACAGGUGGUGCAUGGUUGUCGUCAGCUCGUGUCGUGAGAUGUUGGGUUAAGUCCCGCAACGAGCGCAACCCUUAAGCUUAGUUGCCAUCAUUAAGUUGGGCACUCUAAGUUGACUGCCGGUGACAAACCGGAGGAAGGUGGGGAUGACGUCAAAUCAUCAUGCCCCUUAUGAUUUGGGCUACACACGUGCUACAAUGGACAAUACAAAGGGCAGCGAAACCGCGAGGUCAAGCAAAUCCCAUAAAGUUGUUCUCAGUUCGGAUUGUAGUCUGCAACUCGACUACAUGAAGCUGGAAUCGCUAGUAAUCGUAGAUCAGCAUGCUACGGUGAAUACGUUCCCGGGUCUUGUACACACCGCCCGUCACACCACGAGAGUUUGUAACACCCGAAGCCGGUGGAGUAACCUUUUAGGAGCUAGCCGUCGAAGGUGGGACAAAUGAUUGGGGUGAAGUCGUAACAAGGUAGCCGUAUCGGAAGGUGCGGCUGGAUCACCU
rnacentral:rRNA from 1 species